rnacentral:lncRNA from 1 species
AUCUUGUUGUUUGUGACACACUGAGGACAUUGUGUAGUUUAAGUGUGGUCUAUUGGGGGAGAAUUCUAUUUUCUUUGUCAGUUUUUGUUUUUCUGCGUUAAAUUUUUUGUUUUAUACGUAGUUUUUGUUUUGUCUUGUGUACAGUUUUGCAUGUUUUUCGUGAUUUCUGGACUUUGUUUUGGUUGUAGAUGUGUCUUUCACUUCAUUGAUACUCUGAUUGAUUUGAAAUCCAUGCUCUUCUUUGCUUGGAAGAUGAUUAUGAUGUUUGAGAUUUGAAUUGAUUGUGACAGAAAAUACCCUGUGUGAGAUUUGAGCCACUUGAUAUUCUUUCUUGUGUGUGAUAUGUCUCUUGAUUGC